rnacentral:rRNA from 1 species
UACGGGGGGGGCAAGCGUUGUUCGGAAUUACUGGGCGUAAAGGGCUCGUAGGCGGCCAACUAAGUCAGACGUGAAAUCCCCAGGCUCAACCUGGGAACUGCGUCUGAUACUGGAUGGCUUGAAUUCGGGGAGAGGGAUGCAGAAUUCCAGGUGUAGCGGUGAAAUGCGUAGAUAUCUGGAGGAAUACCGGUGGCGAAGGCGGCAUCCUGGACCGACAUUGACGCUGAUGAGCGAAAGCUAGGGGAGCAAACGGG